rnacentral:rRNA from 1 species
UACGGAGGGUGCAAGCGUUAAUCGGAAUUACUGGGCGUAAAGCGCACGCAGGCGGUUGGAUAAGUUAGAUGUGAAAGCCCAGGGCUCAACCUGGGAAUUGCAUUUGAAACUGUCUGACUUGAGUGCAGGAGAGGGGGGUAGAAUUCCAAGUGUAGCGGUGAAAUGCGUAGAUAUUUGGAGGAAUACCGGUGGCGAAGGCGGCCCCCUGGACAAAUACUGACGCUGAGGUGCGAAAGCGUGGGGAGCAAACAGG